rnacentral:lncRNA from 10 species
CCUGGAUGAGCUGCACCAGCCGCCGCAGCUCUUCGUUCUCCUGUGCCAGCCGCUGGAUCUCCUGCCGCAGGCCCUCAUAGCUGCUGAGGAGGGACAUGCCUGGCAGCCAGCGGCGGCAGCUGGCGGGGGCCAGCAGGCCGGCCAGGGACAGCAGACCCUGCUAUUGUGAGGUCAGCAGCUGCCCCUGCCCCCUCGCCUCAGCCGCAUUCCGGGCCUUCAGGGUCAGGACCCAGCUGUUCCAACCACCCCGUGGCAGAGGUGGCCUGACCUCUGACCUCCAGCCCCCUGAGGGCCAAAUGGCCAGUGGGUGCCCAGAACUGUCCCAGGUCUCUGGCUCACUCCAGGAAUCCUCCUCCUAGAAGAUGGAAGCUUCUUUGACCCGGCCAAGCCCAGGGGUCUGGAAUUUGGGCACAUGCUUGGCACAGACUGUGUAUGUGACCAGCCCUCCAUAAAACCCCAGGGCGCUGAGUGUCUAAGAAGCUUCCCUGGCAGACAGCAUUUCACACACACGGCUCCAGCUUCUUCCCGUGGAGUCCACCAGGAGAGGACGUGGCCAGCUCACGCCUGAUUUCCUGUGGAAUUCAUCCCAUGCACCUUUUCUCUUUGCUGAUUCAGACUUAUAUCCUCUCUGUGUAAUAAUCUUAGGCGUGAAGACAAGUCUAUAGUGAGUCCUUCUAGCAAAUCGGUUACUCUGGAGGGGUCUUGGGGAUACCUCUCACGGCCCCUGAAUUUGUAUAAGCUUUAGGCCUCCAAAAUUUGAAUCGACCCAUGUGUGUACCCUAAAGCUGGAGUACGAGGGUCAGAGAACCAAAGGUGUGAGGUAGGAGUGGCCCCAUAAUCCUAAACCUGUAAUGCUGCCAGGUUGGAGGCCUGGUUCCUGAAGAUGAAUACUUCCACCAGGGAACACAGCAAAGGUUCCACUGAUCUUGAAGUAGCGGCUAUCACUGGCCCACUUUGGACACCUUAGGCUGAAGACCAACAUCGUCCUCAUUGUCCUGAGUUGCUACGGUCAAUGCUACACAACUGGGGUGGGCAGUCCACAGAGCUCCCUGGGCGUCUAGUCUUCCCGCAUGCGGCAAGGACUGUCAGUGGACAACCCAGUAAUGGCCAUGCGUGGUGGCGGGAGGCCGAGGCAGGUGGAUCACCUGAGGUCAGG